CAUGGAGCCCAGGAAAUGUAGUGUGACCUUGUCUGUCCUUAUAUCCCUUCCUCUCCUUCACCAUGGUAUCACCAGCCUAAAUGUCACCACUGGAUCCACCAGUGGGAGGAAUGAGCCAUCCCUGUCAUCUCCACCCCUGUCAUUUCUCAGCCCCACAGCCCCUACAGGAGUAACAGAAUGGGGAAUGGUGAGGGGACGCUGCCUUUGCAUAUGUACAGCUUCUUUCAAGAAUUGGCCAAUGUGUCACCCUGAACAACCUGCUACCCCUCCCCCCAGUAGGGUAUGGUGCCCCUGUGAUGUUCAUAAAUGCUGAGUUCUCUUCUGAGCUAAGUAAGCCCUGAUCAGCCAGACCAGGGAGCCUCGCUGGACAGGGCUGGGGACCCUGUCUCCCUCACCUCCUAGAAGCCCUCCCAGGCCUGCUAAAGACCAGCGUUUGCCAAUGCCCCCGCCCUGACUUUCUGUGGAGCACAUGCGGUUAGAGAGCUCGGAGACGCGGACCAGAGAAGGUCUCCGCGGCUGCCUGGGAUCGAUGCAUGAAGAGAUUCCAGGGCGGUGGUGGAGGAAGGGCCCAAUCCCUGAGAUGACCCAGCGGAGGAAAAACCCGGUCGACACCAGUUUGCCAAGACUACAAGUCCCAGGAGUCCGAGCGGCAGGCCUUUCCCUUCUUCCCAGAACCACGUUUCCCAGCAGCCAUCGGGAACGUCAUGGAGGUCCUCUCGAAAAUCCCGCCCCCUCCUCCCCAGUGACAGCAAGGAGAGAGGGGAGGCGGCGCCCCCAAUCUGGCCUGGUUUGAGAUGUUCCUAGCCGUGGGAGACAGACAGACUGUCAUCAAAUGUCGGAAAAUAGCUGUCAUGAGACUCCUCACCCCCUGACACUUGACACCUUUCCCUUCCCAGCACCUGAAGCCCUCCUUCCUCAGCGGCAACAAAGCCGUAGUUUCUGUUCCUGUUGACUGAGCACAGAAUGCUUCCUAAUCCUCACGCACCCCUGCUGGGGUAGAGAGACUGAACCGCUCAGGGUCCCAGUCAGGGUUAGGAUGUCAGGGUCCGGGUUCAAACUCAGCACUGUGGCGGGAGUCCAGAGGCC